UGCGUGCGUGCGAUUAAAUUAUAUUGAAAAUUUAUGUUGAAUUAACGUUGGAAAAUGGAAUUUCCUGCCUGUCGAUUGAGACCUGUGAAUGACGUGAAAAAUCUAGGAAGGGACCUAAAUUGACAUUCUAUCUGAAAUAUUACAUAAACCAAUAAAUAAACACGAAGAAUAUAGACACGAGCGUUAAAUAGAAUGUUGCGUUAUAUUCUGCAAUCAAGUUUCUCAUGGUCAAAUGUUCAAAUGAUUCAAAUGUUAGAUAAGAUGACGGAGGAAGAGGGGAAGGGAUCAUGCUCAUUUCCGCAGAAGAGCGAGGGUUCCAUGGCUCGAUUGCCUGCUUGCUCGCUCGUUCGCUCACACGACGCACGCAUGCACGCAUGCACGUACGCAUGCACGCCUCAUGCCGUGCCGUCCAAAAUGGCUGAUCGCUAAAAUUAGCGAGCGAACGAACGAACGAAUG